rnacentral:rRNA from 1 species
GACGAACGCUGGCGGCGUGCUUAACACAUGCAAGUCGAACGGAAAGGCCCUGCUUUUGUGGGGUGCUCGAGUGGCGAACGGGUGAGUAACACGUGAGUAACCUGCCCUUGACUUUGGGAUAACUUCAGGAAACUGGGGCUAAUACCGGAUAGGAGCUCCUGCUGCAUGGUGGGGGUUGGAAAGUUUCGGCGGUUGGGGAUGGACUCGCGGCUUAUCAGCUUGUUGGUGGGGUAGUGGCUUACCAAGGCUUUGACGGGUAGCCGGCCUGAGAGGGUGACCGGCCACAUUGGGACGGAGAUCCGGCCCAGACUCCUACGGGAGGCAGCAGUUGGGAAUAUUGCACAAUGGGCGGAAGCCUGAUGCAGCAGCGCCGCGUGCGGGAUGACGGCCUUCGGGUUGUAAACCGCUUUCGCCUGUGACGAAGCGUGAGUGACGGUAAUGGGUAAAGAAGCACCGGCUAACUACGG